ACGAAUAGAACAAAGCGACCUCGGCUGAUGCUGGCUCCUCGGAGCACGUGCACGCCCCGGCUCGCGCCUUCAAUUCGCUUCACCCCCUUGUGCACUCAAUGUAGGUCGUUGAUGUCGACGCCUAUGAAUUUUCGUCUUUGUACGCACCCCGAUUGCAUGUAUAAGCGCAGCUUUAUUUGAUAACACAAAAUA
rnacentral:misc_RNA from 1 species